GGCUCAAUUGAAUGGCGCAACAAAGAAAGAGGACUAUGCACGGAAAUUGACCUUUUAAGGUAAAAAGGCACAGAUCCUGGCCACAAAACGGGUCAAAGCGUGGAUCCCACAUUCUUCCAAACGGCGUUGUUUCCUUUAUGCAUGAAAAAUCAAAAAAAAAAAAAAACUUCCCCCAAAGUCAUUUGUUCCAAAAUCAAAAGGAACAAAAGGGUUUUCUCCCUUUUUCCUCUGCUAGGGCAAAAAUGGAUUAGCUCCUGCUGCUAAGCCGGCACAAUCACUAAUAACGACGGCCGGAGGAGCAACAACAAGCAGGUUCGGCCUUGUAUGGAGAUUGUAGACGUGGCCAUGACGAGGCUGUGCGUGGGAAACUACUCGUGAAGGCCCGAUUCCAUAGCUAGCUGCAGUGCUAGCAUGUUUCAGAAACCUCUAGGAUUUCUUGUACUCUCGGAUUGUUGGGCCCUUUUGGCUUUGGGCUAUGAUUGGGCCAAAUUAGGUUUAUUUUAGAUGGGUUAAAAGUUUGGGAUAAAUUUGGAUUUGUGUUAGGUUUAAUGUUUGGAUUUAGUUUGGUUUAGGCCUGGAAAUUUGUAAAUGGACAUUGGACCCAUAAAUAAUUUAGUUUAUUAUUUA